CCACCUCUCGAUCUGGAUAACCAUCCAUGACAGGUGGUCCCUUAUUUACAUGUGGGACCCUCAUUCUGGCGGACAGGUCGUACUUCCGUGCUCGCGGUGACGCCGCGUCGCCGCCGGCGAUCAGAUCCAGUGCUUCUCGUAGGUAGCGGCGUCGGCGGUGGUCAUGUGGUCGACCGCGGCGUGGUGGUGGGCCCACCACCACAUACGCCUCCUUCUCCCGGCCCUCUUCCUCGCCGCCGCCCUCUUCUUCUUCCUCGCCUCCCCGCGCUCCUCCCCAUCCUUCUUCGCCCUACCGGCCUCCAGGGAGCAUUCGCCGUCGGGGUCGCGGCUCAUAUGGGCGCAGCGGCGUUUGGCGGAGUGGCGGCCGUGCGAGUGGUGGCAGACGGCAAUGCCCGCAGCUCCGUCGACGAGGAAUGGCUACAUCAGGAUAGAUUGCUACGGCGGCCUCAACCAGCUGCGGCGCGAUCUGUGCGAUGGAAUUGCGGUUGCACGUCUUCUGAACGCGACAAUGGUUCUGCCCAAGUUUGAGGUUGCUGCAUACUGGAAUGAGUCUAGUGGUUUUGCAGACGUGUUUGAUGUUGAUCACUUCAUUGAGCAAACUAGAGGUUAUGUGGAAGUGGUGAAGGAUAUGCCCGAGGAGAUAUCGUUGAAAGAGCCAUUUAAGGUCGAUUGCCGAAAACGGAAAGGACAUUUUGAUUAUGUAGAAACAGUUCUUCCAGCUCUUUUAGAACAUCGAUACAUUUCUCUGACACCUGCCAUGAGCCAAAGAAAAGAUAGAUAUCCAGCACAUGUGAAAGCUUGUUACUGCCAAGGUUGCUACAAUGCACUCCAGUUGAACAAGAAGGUGGAAGCCAAAGCUAUGGAGCUUCUCCAAGCGAUACCAAAACCUUUCUUAUCACUUCACCUUAGAUUUGAACCAGAUAUGGUUGCCUACAGUCGAUGUGAAUACAGUGCCCUUUCUUCCAAAUCACUGGAUGUGAUUGAAGCUGCACGUGGGGAGGACAGGAAUGUAUUGAUUGGUGAUGCUGCUCGUCUGUGGAGGAACCGUGGAAAGUGCCCUCUAACACCAAGUGAAACAGCAUUUAUCCUCCAAGCACUAGGUAUUCCUACGGAGACAAACAUUUAUUUAGCUGCUGGGGAUGGGUUAAUGGAACUCGAGGGCUUCACUUCGAUCUACAAAAAUAUGUAUACUAAAUCGUCUCUCCUGACUCAUGAAGAUUUUGAGAGGAUGCAUGGCAACACAAAAGCUGCUCUCGACUACUAUGUUUCAGUCAACAGCGAUGCUUAUGUUACCACAUUCUUUGGAAAUAUGGAUAAGAUGGUAACUGCAAUGAGAACAAUGCAAGGGCUGCAGAAGACAUUGGUCUUGAGUAGGAGGGCCUUCGCAAACUACACGGCUGCUGGACUGGCAGGGGACCAACUAGCUAAGGCCAUGUGGGAUGCUCACCGAGAGGAUUAUAUCAUGGGGAGGGGAUUAGCUCUCCCUGAACAUUGCUUUUGUGAGUUCAAGUUGUAGUACAAAUGAGCCCAUAUAACACAAGGGCUAGUCUACACGGCCACCUUCCAAUUGGUAGCACUAAUAGAUCGCAUUGUGGCUGAGUUGCUACUGCAGUGGGCGUUAUGCCCAAUCUUCAGAAGAAACUGUUCUUCAUCAGAGUCGCGAGCUGCACAGCGUCUUGAUUCAGGGAGCAAUUAUCACUCAUACAGCAAUGCAUCAUGGCCUCUCCUCCUGUAUACUGUUUCCGGGGCUUCUGUGACUGUGAGAUCUCAUAUCUGCUCCAAUCAGAAAAAUAUUAGCAGGGAAAUACAAGAAGUUUAAAGUGCAUCAUUGAGCGUUGGUUGAGCAAAUUGCAAUAUCAUUUUGAAGAAAAUCAAGAGGUCAAAGUCAAUUAAGUACCUCCGUUUCGAAUUAUAAGGUGUUCUGGAUGUUUUAAUAUGGACUACGUAUGGACUGAUAUAUUUAUAUAGGGCCUUGAUUCGCGUUCUAAGACCUUGCAGCGUCAACAGAAGCUAACGACCAAAAAUAAGUCUAGUCUCGAAGACCAUGGUAAGAUAAACCAUGUCUUUCAAAACUCAGACGGAUCAUUAUAUCACGUGUCAGUCCUAGCCAAAGAAGAACCGGCGGCGUAUUACCCUUUUUUUACUUUAUCAGACAGUGAUGUCUCCCCGAUGUAGAAGAAAAUUCAUUCUUGUCCUGUUUUUUGUGCGAGCACAUGACUAAACUGGAUUACAAAUUAGACACGAUGAGUGAUGAGUGUGAAAAGGCAGAACCCAUGAAAAAUACCAACGGCGACAAUCAUCGGCGCGUCCUGCUGCCUAGAGACGAUAAGUACAGACAGAGAAAAGUGGUCAAUGGUGGCAACCGGUGAGGCAUUCGACAACGGAAGUAUAGCCAUCGCCCAUCGACAAGGGUAACUCAUUAUGACGGCCCUAGCUAUGUACUGUACUGCCAAACUUUGGCACUAUUUAUUGUCAUUUCAUUAUUGUUUUUGUCUGUAAAAAAAGCAACUAUAAACUCUUUCUUAAUUACUCCCUCUGUAAAACGAUAUUAGAGUGCUUAGACCAUUAAUUUAGUGAUUUAAACGCUUUUAUAUUUCUUUACAGAGUGAGUAAUAAAUAAGGCAAAUCUUUUACUU